rnacentral:tRNA from 1 species
UCCCUGAUGGUCCAGUGGUUAGGACUCUGCGCUUUCACUGCCAAGGGCCCAGGUUCAACCCCUGGGUCACAGAA